ACUCUUGCAAAUAAUCCCCAAGCUAUGAACACAUUGUAGCCAAAGGGUGGCUGGUGCUGGGGAUGCUUACAGCUUGCUCAGGAUGUGGUCAAGAAGGCAGCUGGGAUGUUGAAACUGAGGCUGUAAAAGGAACCAGAUCAGGAUCGCCAGCCAGUGCCCAGUGGAACCAGGACUUGAACUCAGAUCUGUGAGAACUCAAAGCAUCUAUGCCCUUAUCACAGCAUUUCCAAGCAUCGUGGAUGGGCUGACAGGCCCCUUUCAUCACAAGACUGUGAAACGUGUCCAGGCAGCAUUCCUUCCUCUCCCUAGGACUUCCCUUACAGCCUACCAGCACGGCUUCUCCAUGGGGAAGAGCCCUCACCCACUGCCUGUCACAGGGUCCUGGGGUGCAGCUAUGGGGUGAGAGGAACCAAAACUGAGAGUCUGGGGCUCAUGGAAUCCACCCCCUGCUUAUUAGGCACAGACGGCAUACUCAGUGCCUCCACUCACAACAAACCUUCGAGGUAGAUAUUUUCAUUCCCAUUUUUCAGAUGUGGAAAUCAAGCCAUAGAGAAGCAAGGGCACUGGCCCAAGAUCUCACAGUAGGAAGGGGCAGAGGAGAGAUCUGAAUCUGCACUGCCUGACUCUGGAGUCCAGGUCUUCAGUGACGGUCACUGUCCUUUAUGUUCUGUGGCUUGCCUGCUGCACACGGGGCCCUGUGAUCUCAUAUCAGUUGUCCCCACCUGUGCAACUUCCGCACCUUGCACAUUCACAAUGCUACCUCACUGACUUGGGGUACUUAGAGACUCCAAAUCACCCCCCUCUGCACAGUCUCCACAGGCUGGCCAGACUCCCAGGGCAGGGAGUCUGUAGAGGCCUGUCCAGCCACAUGGAGCUUUGAAAAAUCCCAGAGCCCUGAGCUGCCCCAGGGUCCUCCUGCCUAGGCUGCCAGCCACGAGCACAGAGGCCUUGGAGUGCUCAGGCAGGCUCUGGCCCCUUGGAAUUCCCUGGCUCCAGCCCAAGCAGCUGACAAAUGGACUGGCACCACUGCCAGCAAUCAGGACGGUGGAGUAUGAGAUCCCACCCUGUUCCCAGGCACAGGGAAGGAGGGGCAGGCUGCCCUUCCUUUUGACCCUGUCACCAGGCUGUCACCUCUCCCAAGGCAAAGCCCAAGCCUUGACCUAGGAGGGGUCUUGCUGGAAAAAUUGCCCCCCACCCUACCCCACCCCACCUUCCAUGGAAAACAAAAAGCUGCUCGAAGACCAGAGGAAAUUCUAGAAUCCUAAAAGUCAUUGCUAGAGAGGCUUUAGGAUCAAGGGGUCUCACACCCUCAUCUUACAGGAAAAGGGAAGUGGCUCAGUGCAGCUGACAGCUUAAGCCUCACUCAGUUACAGCAAAUCCACAUGUGAAUCCCAGCUUGGCCCUUCCCAUGCUAUGUAAUCUUGGAUUACUAAAUCACAGACUCCUCGUCUGUAAAGGGGGUCAAUGUAAAGAUUUCAUGAGAUCAUAUACGUAGGGUGCAUAGGGUGACCAGUUGUCCUGGUUUGCCAGAAACCAAGGGGUGUCCUGGGAUGCAGAAUGUAAAGUGCUCAAACUGGAAUGUCCCAGCCAAUCAGGGCCCGCUGGUCACUCUAUGAACAUGAAGAGACUGGCUCAAACAAACAUGCCCUUUGGCUGUUAUGUUUAAAGAGAGCUAUGUCUGGAGUCAGCUAUCAGUGAGUUUGAAACCCCCACCAGUAGAACUUCUAGAAAGACUUGUCAAGUCAUUGGAAAGCUCUUCCUUUUUUUCACUACACUGACCUUGAGCAAACUGCCACAUUCGUGUCAGUGUUGGUUUAGGCCCCUGGAGUCACACAGGACAAGCCAGCCACCUCCCUCCCCAGGCAGCAGCCACUUCCUCCCUUUAAUCUCCGCCAGCACUUCCUCUGCAUCAUUCUUAACCCUUUGCCAGCCGACCCCCACCAGGCCAACUGAGCUGCUCUCCUGGGUUGGGGAGGGGUGCCACAAUAUGGUUUUGCUUGCAGGUUUGUCGAUUUUUUAUUUUUGUUCACUUAAUUAUUGGCGUGAUGCAGCUGUGGAUGGUGGGAGGUUCAAAAGAGGCUCACUUAUACAGGGAACAUAAAUUAAAGUAAAAGAAGGAAGGGAAACAUGUGUAGAGACAGAAAAUGGAGUCACGGCUAAGGGUGAAAUGCAGGGGACACAGAAGUUCCUAGACACUGACAGUGGCUGGACCAUACACUGGAACCCCAGCUUCCUGAAAGGGGGACCCAGUUACAUGAGUCACAUGCUCCUUGCUAAAAACCAAACCCACUCAGGGGAAUAGUAAGGCUUCCUGAUGCUAGGAGCAGAAGGACUGUCUCCAGAAGCCUGUGGAGAGAAGACAUGGGGGAUCUGAUCACGGAACGGGGUCUCCAGUUCCUGAAUGUUUUAAGGGAGGCUCCAAACACUCACUGAUGGACAGCACUGCCCCAAACUGCAAUUCAGUAAAAGCUGCUUUUCCUAG
rnacentral:lncRNA from 10 species